rnacentral:tRNA from 1 species
GCCCUGGUGGCUCAGUGGUUAAGUGCUUGGCUGCUAACCAAAAUGCUGGCGGUUCAAACCCACCAGAGGCU